UCAAAUGCUCAGACUCCUGUGGUGGCUGCUCAUGCACCACGGACGUUUGAGCAUGUGCU
ensembl:miRNA ocu-mir-105a-1 ocu-mir-105a-1